CUGGUCUCUAGUCCCACACAGUCAUUUGCAGGUAUCCGGAGGAACCUAUUUGAAAGUAACUGUCUAUUGUUUCUCCUUUAUUUACAAGGGUUCUGGGGAGGAGUGAAAAUGACAAAAGAGAGGUGGCAGGAAGGAGGAGGAUGUUUGAGUAUUCCCACAAACGGUUGAUUAGUCAGUGAAUUAAAGAGAGUUCUUGUUCCUGGAUAAUUUGGAAUGAACACAUUUCCUGUUCACUCAGAGAUACAGCAGCGAGUUUAUUCUGGGUGGCUUCCACAGUGACCAUUGUGGAGAAGAAAUCUUGUAAUAUAAUUGAAGAACAAUAGCCAUAUAAUUAACACAGAUGUUCAGGUAUGAGUCAUUGAAAAAUUAUCAUCCUUACUGUGAAAUAAGAUUGGUCAAGGCGAGGCUGGUCCUUCAAAGAAGGAAAACCCAACAUGGUGCAAUGUGUGCUGCAGGUAAGGCCGUGGUGUGAUUUUGAACGCAAAGUUGCCUCUGGCUCAAGUUCUCUUGGGCUCGAGUCCCAGGCUCUUGCUUGUAACUCCUCUAUUGCUUGUCACUGUUAUGUAGAGCAGUGUUUCUCAAGUUUGAGUGAAUCUUCAAAUAACCUGGUGGGCUUGUUGAAACACAUAUUCCUGAGUUGGAUGUCCAGAAAUUCGGAUUUAGUAGGUCUGUGGUGGGGCCCAGAAUAUUCAUUUUUAACAAGUUGCUAUGUGAUGUUGCUGCUGCUGCUGCUACUAGGUGUUGAAUCACACUUUGUGUAGCACCAAGUGCAGACUUCUGAGAGGGUCAAUGGACAUCAAAUAAGUUUAAUGAGAGUGAAUGAAUGUGUCAGGUG
rnacentral:lncRNA from 1 species